AAGUCGUAACAAGGUUUCCGUAGGUGAACCUGCGGAAGGAUCAUUAACGAAUAAACUCGGCGAGCUGCUGCUGGCCCCUUCGGGAGCAUGUGCACGCUCGUUGCCGUUUCUUCUUUCUCCACCUGUGCACCUUUGUAGGCCUUUGACACAGUUUCGGGAGGGUGUUUUUUCACGCUCUCGGUUUUGAGGAGCUGUUGCUUUCACUGGCGACUUUCCUUACGUCUUUGGCCUACUCACAACACACACACGCUCGAGUAAUGGAACGUCUUUUUAUGGGUCCGCCGUGGCCUCUAAAACCCCCUAUACAACUUUCAACAACGGAUCUCUUGGCUCUC
rnacentral:misc_RNA from 1 species